GACGAACGCUGGCGGCGUGCUUAACACAUGCAAGUCGAACGGAGUGGCGAACGGGUGAGUAACACGUGGGUGAUCUGCCUUGCACUUCGGGAUAAGCUUGGGAAACUGGGUCUAAUACCGGAUAGUGCAAGAUGCGCUCGCGGCCUAUCGGCUGGUUGGUGGGGUAAUGGCCUACCAAGGCGUCGACGGGUAGCCGGCCUGAGAGGGGGUACGGCCACAGUGGGACUGAUAGACGGCCCAAACUACAGCGGGAGGCAGCAGAGGGGAAUAUUGCACAAUGGGCGGAAGACGAAUGCAGCGACGCCGCGUGGGGGAGGAAGGCUUUCGGGUUGUAAACUCCUUGCGACAGGGACGCGAUACCUGUAUAAGAAGCACCGGCUAACUACGUGCCAGCAGCCGCGGUAAUUC
rnacentral:rRNA from 1 species